GAUGAACGCUGGCGGCGUGCCUAAUACAUGCAAGUCGAGCGAACAGACGAGGAGCUUGCUCCUCUGACGUUAGCGGCGGACGGGUGAGUAACACGUGGAUAACCUACCUAUAAGACUGGGAUAACUUCGGGAAACCGGAGCUAAUACCGUAUAAUAUAUUGAACCGCAUGGUUCAUUGGUGAAAGACGGUUUUGCUGUCACUUAUAGAUGGAUCCGCGCCGCAUUAGCUAGUUGGUAAGGUAACGGCUUACCAAGGCAACGAUGCGUAGCCGACCUGAGAGGGUGAUCGGCCACACUGGGACUGAGACACGGUCCAGACUCCUACGGGAGGCAGCAGUAGGGAAUCUUCCGCAAUGGGCGAAAGCCUGACGGAGCAACGCCGCGUGAGUGAUGAAGGUCUUCGGAUCGUAAAACUCUGUUAUUAGGGAAGAACAAAUGUGUAAGUAACUAUGCACGUCUUGACGGUACCUAAUCAGAAAGCCACGGCUAACUACGUG
rnacentral:rRNA from 1 species